CGAAGGGGGCUAGCGUUGUUCGGAAUCACUGGGCGUGAAGGGCGCGUAGGCGGCCUGGCAAGUGGAAGGUGAAAUCCCUCGGCUUAACCGAGGAACUGCCCUCCAAACUGCUUGGCUUGAGACCGGGAGAGGUGAGUGGAAUUCCCAGUGUAGCGGUGAAAUGCGUAGAUAUUGGGAGGAACACCAGUGGCGAAGGCGGCUCACUGGACCGGUACUGACGCUGAGGCGCGAAAGCGUGGGGAGCAACGGG
rnacentral:rRNA from 1 species